GCGGCGGCGGCGCCCGCAGGCCGGCCGGGCGCGGUCUCGGGGGUCUGCGGUCCGCGGCGAGACCCGGUCGUGGCGCCGGGCGGCCGGGCAGCCGGGAGGGGUAGCGGGCCCGAGCCGGGGCUUCCGCACUGAACGGUCGGACUCUAGGGGGCCUGCGAGCUUCAAGCCUCCGGAUCCGGGAGAAAAUGACGGGCCGUCCUGGACCGCGGAGCCGGGGAGCGGCUGGAGGUGGCGAAGUUGAGGGAUCCGCCGGAGUCUCUCUCCGCUCGACUUCGUACAGUAAUCACCCUGCAGAAGGGAUUGACCCGGAGCCGCCACGUUUGUCUCCUAGAGGUCGUUCGGAAUGAAGGCUCCCAAAAUGUGACCCACUUGGGAGGCUUCGCGUCGCUGGUACGCUGCGCCUUGACAGGGACCCACCACGUUAGGUGCCCACACCACCAGCGACAUAAAUAGAUUUCAAACCGGUGCUUAUACGUUCAAGAGAGGAAGGAAAGCCAGCUAAGGAGCUGUAGAGCGACAGUAGCCAGUGGAGGAGGAUAUUCAACUGCCUCAGAAGCCAAACGACUUCUUCACUAACAGUGUCUUCCAAAGAGAGAUUGGGUGAGAUGUGAAUGAAGAAUUGACCAUUGAACAGAACUAUAUUCUCCAAGACUGGGAAGAACUGCCUCUGAGAAAGAAAAAGGAAGGGAGAGACAGGAGCUGGAACCACUGUAUGAGGCUUGUCAGGUUGGGCUCUUAUGAGCAGAAGCAGAAUUUGGAGCACUAUUUUUUUAAGGGAUCAAGACCUGUGAGAGGAAGGAGAAGGAAGCAAAACUGGACAGAGGGAGACUGAAGCUGAUCCCACAAAUCUUCAGCCAACCCUGGAGUUGUAGAGCAUUUAGAACUGGUUGCAGGAGGACUGUCAAAGACUUUGGGCUAGACAAACUGUCACAUGCUGAACGCAGAGCCUAAUGGACCAUUCUGAUGGGAAAGCAGAAAGCCCAGAGAAGCGAGGACUGCUGAGGCCUGGGUUGUGAGGUUUCUAAGGGAAACGGAGAUUCCUACCAGGAGCUACGUGAAGCCAGUCAGGUUAUAUUCUGGCAAAAAGGAUGACCUCAUUCUGCCUGUGUCUUGAGAACUUGAAUGAAACUGAAUUUAAGAGUAAUGGAUUAAUGUGUCAGGCAGAGAAAAUGUCACAGCAGGAUGGCAUUCAGUCGAUGACGUCGGUAUUACUACUCUCCCCAGGUCUA